rnacentral:rRNA from 1 species
UACCUACGGGAGGCAGCAGUGAGGAAUAUUGGUCAAUGGCCGCAGGGCUGAACCAGCCAAGUCGCGUGAGGGAUGACGGUCCUAUGGAUUGUAAACCUCUUUUGUCAGGGAACAAAGGCGGGGACGUGUCCCCGGAUGAGUGUACCUGAAGAAAAAGCAUCGGCUAACUCCGUGCCAGCAGCCGCGGUAAUACGGAGGAUGCGAGCGUUAUCCGGAUUUAUUGGGUUUAAAGGGUGCGUAGGCGGGCUGUUAAGCCAGCGGUAAAAGCCCGGGGCUCAACCCCGGCGAGCCGGUGAAACUGGCUG